AUUGAACGCUGGCGGCAGGCCUAACACAUGCAAGUCGAGCGGAGCGGCGGACGGGUGAGUAAUGCCUAGGAAUCUGCAUGGGAGUGGGGGAGAACGUCCGGAAACGGGCGCUAAUACCGCAUACUAUCAGAUGAGCCUAGGCCGGAUUAGCUCGUGGGUGGGGUAAAGGCCUCCCAAGGCCACGAUCCGUAACUGGUCUGAGAGGAUGAUCAGUCACACUGGAAUUGAGACACGGUCCAGACUCCUACGGGAGGAAGCAGUGGGGAAUAUUGUACAAUGGGCGCAAGCCUGAUACAGCCAUGCCGCGUGUGUGAAGAAGGUCUUCGGAUUGUAAAGCACUUUAAGUUGGGAGGCGUUACCAACAGAAUAAGCACCGGCUAACUUCGUGCCAGCCGCCGCGGUAAUUC
rnacentral:rRNA from 1 species